rnacentral:rRNA from 1 species
CCCUUAGAUGUUCUGGGCCGCACGCGCGCUACACUGAUUGGUUCAACAAGUAUCAACCUUGGCCGAUAGGUCUGGGUAAUCUUUGAACGCCAAUCGUGAUGGGGAUAGAUUAUUGCAAUUAUUAAUCUUCAACGAGGAAUUCCUAGUAAACGCAAGUCAUCAGCUUGCAUUGAUUACGUCCCUGCCCUUUGUACACACCGCCCGUCGCUGCCCGGGACUGAGCCGUUUCGAGAAAAGCGGGGACUGCUGCUGUCGGGGCUUUCGGGCCUUGGCUUCGGUGGAAACCGCUUUAAUCGCAGUGGCUUGAACCGGGCAAAAGUCGUAACA